rnacentral:rRNA from 1 species
UACAGAGGUCCCAAGCGUUGUUCGGAUUCAUUGGGCGUAAAGGGUGCGUAGGUGGCAUGGUAAGUCGGGUGUGAAAUCCCGGGGCUCAACCCCGGAACUGCACUCGAUACUACCGUGCUCGAGUACUGGAGAGGAGACUGGAAUUUACGGUGUAGCAGUGAAAUGCGUAGAUAUCGUGAGGAAGACCAGUGGCGAAGGCGGGUCUCUGGACAGUUCCUGACACUGAGGCACGAAGGCCAGGGGAGCAAACGGG